rnacentral:rRNA from 1 species
GUGGGGAAUCUUCCGCAAUGGACGAAAGUCUGACGGAGCGACGCCGCGUGAGUGAUGAAGGCCUUCGGGUCGUAAAGCUCUGUCAUCGGGGACGAACGGCCUCAGCAGGUAAUGGCUGGGGAUUGACGGUACCCGAGAAGGAAGCCACGGCUAACUACGUGCCAGCAGCCGCGGUAAUACGUAGGUGGCAAGCGUUGUCCGGAAUUAUUGGGCGCAAAGCGCGCGCAGGUGGGAUCUUAAGUCCAUUUUGAAAGUUCGGAGCUCAACUCCGUGAUGGGAUGGAAACUGGGAUUCUUGAGUACCGGAGAGGAAAGCGGAAUUCCCCGUGUAGCGGUGAAAUGCGUAGAUAUGGGGAGGAACACCAGUGGCGAAGGCGGCUUUCUGGACGGUGUCUGACACUGAGGCGCGAAAGCCAGGGGAGCGAACGGGAUUAGAUACCCGUGUAGUCC